UACAGAGGGGGCAAGCGUUGUUCGGAAUUACUGGGCGUAAAGGCGCGUAGGCGGCCUGUUAAGUCGAACGUGAAAUCCCCGGGCUCAACCCGGGAACUGCGUCCGAUACUGGCAGGCUUGAAUCCGGGAGAGGGAUGCGGAAUUCCAGGUGUAGCGGUGAAAUGCGUAGAUAUCUGGAGGAACACCGGUGGCGAAGGCGGCAUCCUGGACCGGCAUUGACGCUGAGGCGCGAAAGCCAGGGGAGCAAACGGG
rnacentral:rRNA from 1 species